rnacentral:rRNA from 2 species
ACGAUGAAGCCCCUUCGGGGGUGGAUUAGUGGCGAACGGGUGAGUAACACGUGGGCAAUCUGCCCUGCACUCUGGGACAAGCCCUGGAAACGGGGUCUAAUACCGGAUACGACCAUCUGAGGCAUCUCAUGGUGGUGGAAAGCUCCGGCGGUGCAGGAUGAGCCCGCGGCCUAUCAGCUUGUUGGUGAGGUAACGGCUCACCAAGGCGACGACGGGUAGCCGGCCUGAGAGGGCGACCGGCCACACUGGGACUGAGACACGGCCCAGACUCCUACGGGAGGCAGCAGUGGGGAAUAUUGCACAAUGGGCGCAAGCCUGAUGCAGCGACGCCGCGUGAGGGAUGACGGCCUUCGGGUUGUAAACCUCUUUCAGCAGGGAAGAAGCGCAAGUGACGGUACCUGCAGAAGAAGCGCCGGCUAACUACGUGCCAGCAGCCGCGGUAAUUC